UUGGUUAAGUUAGAAAGGGCGCACGGUGGAUGCCUUGGCACUAGGAGUCGAUGAAGGACGGCACUAACACCGAUAUGCCUCGGGGAGCUGUAAGUGAGCUUUGAUCCGGGGAUUUCCGAAUGGGGAAACCCACUAUCUUUAAUCGGAUAGUACAGCCGCGUGAAUUCAUAGCGCGGUUGAGACAUACCCAGGGAACUGAAACAUCUAAGUACCUGGAGGAAGAGAAAGCAAAUGCGAUUCCCUGAGUAGCGGCGAGCGAAACGGGAUCAGCCCAAACCAAGAGGCUUGCCUCUUGGGGUUGUAGGACACUCUAUACGGAGUUACAAAAGGAAGGAUUAGGCGAAGCGACCUGGAACGGUCCGCCAGAGCGGGUAACAGCCCCGUAGCCGAAAACCCUUCCCCUCCAGAGUGGAUCCUGAGUACGGCGGAACACGUGAAAUUCCGUCGGAAUCCGGGAGGACCAUCUCCCAAGGCUAAAUACUUCCUAGUGACCGAUAGUGAACCAGUACCGUGAGGGAAAGGUGAAAAGCACCCCGGAAGGGGAGUGAAACAGAUCCUGAAACCGUGUGCCUACAAGUAGUCAGAGCCCGUUAAUGGGUGAUGGCGUGCCUUUUGUAGAAUGAACCGGCGAGUUACGAUUGCAUGCAAGGUUAAGGUGAGAAGCCGGAGCCGCAGCGAAAGCGAGUCUGAACAGGGCGCCAGAGUAUGCAGUUGUAGACCCGAAACCAGGUGAUCUACCCAUGUCCAGGGUGAAGGCAAGGUAACACUUGCUGGAGGCCCGAACCCACGCACGUUGAAAAGUGCGGGGAUGAGGUGUGGGUAGCGGAGAAAUUCCAAUCGAACCUGGAGAUAGCUGGUUCUCUCCGAAAUAGCUUUAGGGCUAGCCUCAAGAUAAGAAUCCUGGAGGUAGAGCACUGUUUGGACUAGGGGCCCAUCCCGGGUUACCGAAUUCAGACAAACUCCGAAUGCCAGUGAUUUAUGCUUGGGAGUCAGACUGCGAGUGAUAAGAUCCGUAGUCAAGAGGGAAACAGCCCAGACCACCAGCUAAGGUCCCCAAAUAUCCGUUAAGUGGAAAAGGAUGUGGCGUUGCUUAGACAACCAGGAUGUUGGCUUAGAAGCAGCCAUCAUUUAAAGAGUGCGUAAUAGCUCACUGGUCGAGUGACACUGCGCCGAAAAUGUACCGGGGCUAAACGGAUUACCGAAGCUGUGGAUGGACCGCNNNNUNNNNNNNNNNNNNNNNNNNNNNNNNNNNNNNNNNNNNNNNNNNNNNNNNNNNNNNNNNNNNNNNNNNNNNNNNNNNNNNUGGACNNCNAGGUCCGUGGUAGGAGAGCGUUCUAAGGGCGUUGAAGCCAGACCGGAAGGACUGGUGGAGCGCUUAGAAGUGAGAAUGCCGGUAUGAGUAACGAAAGACGGGUGAGAAUCCCGUCCACCGAAUGCCUAAGGUUUCCUGAGGAAGGCUCGUCCGCUCAGGGUUAGUCGGGACCUAAGUCGAGGCCGAUAGGCGUAGACGAUGGACAACAGGUUGAUAUUCCUGUACCACCUCCCCGCCGUUUGAGCAAUGGGGGGACGCAGAAGGAUAAGGCGAGCGCGCCGUUGGUUGUGCGCGUCCAAGCAGUGAGAUGUGGAACGAGGCAAAUCCCGUUCCGGAUGCAUCAAGCUGUGAUGGCGAGGGGAAUUUUCCCCGGAGUCCCUGAUUUCACACUGCCAAGAAAAGCCUCUAGCGAGGCGGGAGGUGCCCGUACCGCAAACCGACACAGGUAGGCGAGAAGAGAAUUCUAAGGUGAGCGAGUGAACUCUCGUUAAGGAACUCGGCAAAAUGACCCCGUAACUUCGGGAGAAGGGGUGCUCUGGUAGGGUGUUACAGCCCGAGAGAGCCGCAGUGAAUAGGCCCAGGCGACUGUUUAGCAAAAACACAGGUCUCUGCAAAACCGUAAGGUGACGUAUAGGGGCUGACGCCUGCCCGGUGCUGGAAGGUUAAGGGGAGUGCUUAGCGCAAGCGAAGGUGCGAACUGAAGCCCCAGUAAACGGCGGCCGUAACUAUAACGGUCCUAAGGUAGCGAAAUUCCUUGUCGGGUAAGUUCCGACCCGCACGAAAGGCGUAACGAUCUGGGCACUGUCUCAACGAGAGACUCGGUGAAAUUAUAGUACCUGUGAAGAUGCAGGUUACCCGCGACAGGACGGAAAGACCCCGUGGAGCUUUACUGUAGCCUGAUAUUGACUUUUGGUGCAACUUGUACAGGAUAGGUAGGAGCCAGAGAAACCGGAGCGCCAGCUUCGGUGGAGGCGUCGGUGGGAUACUACCCUGGUUGUAUUGAAAGUCUAACCCACAUCCCUGAUCGGGGUGGGAGACAGUGUCAGGCGGGCAGUUUGACUGGGGCGGUCGCCUCCUAAAGAGUAACGGAGGCGCCCAAAGGUUCCCUCAGAAUGGUUGGAAAUCAUUCGCAGAGUGUAAAGGCACAAGGGAGCUUGACUGCGAGACGUACAGGUCGAGCAGGGUCGAAAGACGGGCUUAGUGAUCCGGUGGUUCCGCAUGGAAGGGCCAUCGCUCAACGGAUAAAAGCUACCCCGGGGAUAACAGGCUUAUCUCCCCCAAGAGUCCACAUCGACGGGGAGGUUUGGCACCUCGAUGUC
rnacentral:rRNA from 1 species